GACGAAGGAUGCAAGCGUUAUCCGGAUUCAUUGGGUUUAAAGGGAGCGUAGGUGGUCUUCUAAGUCAGUGGUGAAAUCUCUCGGCUUAACUGAGAAAUUGCCAUUGAUACUGGGAGACUUGAGUGUAGUUCCGUUGGCGGAAUAUGACAUGUAGUGGUGAAAUACAUAGAGAUGUCAUAGAACACCGAUUGCGAAGGCAGCUAACGAAACUAUAACUGACACUGAGGCUCGAAAGUGCGGGG
rnacentral:rRNA from 1 species